UCGAACCAGCGACCUUUCAAUUACUGGCCCAACGCUUUUAACCACUUGGCCUCGUCUUAACCGCCUGACUACCUUCCGCCACCAACUGACCUGGAGUGUGAACCUCAUUCAUCUUUCAGUCACCCACGCAGAUCUUUGAGAAUAAAGGAUCCAUGAUGGGCUGUUCCAACCCCCAUCCUCACUGCCAGGUGUGGGCCAGUAACUUCCUGCCUAAUGAAGCCACCCUGUCGGACCGCUGUCAGAGAGAAUACCUGAAGACCCACGGAGAACCUCUACUGCUGCAGUACGCUAAGAUGGAGGCAGAGA